UACGUAGGGUGCAAGCGUUGUCCGGAAUUAUUGGGCGUAAAGAGCUCGUAGGCGGUUUGUCGCGUCGAAUGUGAAACCCGGGGCUCAACCCCGGGCCUGCAUUCGAUACGGGCAGACUAGAGUUCGGUAGGGGAGUCUGGAAUUCCUGGUGUAGCGGUGAAAUGCGCAGAUAUCAGGAGGAACACCGGUGGCGAAGGCGGGACUCUGGGCCGAUACUGACGCUGAGGAGCGAAAGCGUGGGGAGCAAACAGG
rnacentral:rRNA from 1 species